rnacentral:tRNA from 4 species
GGGGGAUUAGCUCAGCUGGGAGAGCACCUGCUUUGCAAGCAGGGGGUCAUCGGUUCGAUCCCGUUAUCCUCCACCA